GCUCAUUUAGUAUCAUUAAUUAGUAAAGCGUUAUCAGAAACAGAAUAUUUAUGAACAGAAUCAAUAUCACUUUCUUCCUCAUGUGCUAGUUCAUCUGUCAGCAGGUGUUUGCUCAUGGUGGGAAGUGUUAAUAAUAUUACAGAGAGGACGGCCUAGACCCGCUCCACAUGAAAAAUUCAAUCAGACAACUUUUGUUUUGAAGUGGGGCUAUAUAAAUAGAAUUGAACUGAAAUUUGAAUCAUAAGGCAAGAGGUCCAACACUAUCAUUAAAACAAUCAGAGAACUUGGAUGGUAGCUGUACAGUACAUACUGGGUCAGACCAAUUACACUGAGUUUAAUUUGUUCUUCUCUCAUUCCCUAAAUAUGAUGUUGGCAUGUAAAAAAUAGUACCAGCUUUUUUAGAAGAAUGUGAUUCACAGAUUUUGAAACACACUAAGCACGACUAACAGAGAGUGGAUUUUGCUGCCGUGCUGGGAAAGCAGUUCACUUUGGAAACCAUUCAAUGGUUUUGAAGACGAGCAGAGUCCAUCUUUCAUUUCAAGCCUACAGGAAGAGUUUGAUACUCAAAGCAGCUCAUCUAAACUUUCAGCUGAGGUGACGACAGGCAGCCAUCUCAGGACCACAGAACAGGAUAAAGCAUAUUUGUGCCUUUCUCAUGUCUUCAGAAGAGGAAGUGCAGAUUAACAGGAACCUACUGCAUGUUAUCACUUACUAUAUUUACUACAGACUGUUUAGCUGCAGAGGACAACACAUCAGACUUUGCAGUAGGGAACUCUUUCAAUUGGGGUAUCAGAGCUUUCAAAGGUUUCACUCUGAAGAAUGGAAGGUCUCUACUCUAACCCUGAUUUCAUCCCGAAUGUGGUGACAUACGUAAUCGUCGCUGUCGGCCUUCAUCUGACGCUUCUGGCCAUCUAUUCUCUUUAUUCUAUGGUGAGAAGAGAUCAUGUUGCUCCCAUCUACCUCAUCAACCUUCUCAUUAGUGACUUGAUUCAGCUCUGCUUCAUGAUUGCUGAUGUGGUACCAACUGUGGAUAGGUGGACACAUGAGAUCUUCGUAUAUAUUUACAUCUCUGCUCUGUUUGCCAGUGUUUACUUCAUGGUCUGCAUCGCCCUGGAAAGGUAUCUAUCUGUCUAUCCAGUAUGUGUGGAGCUCCUUCUUGUCUGAACAUUAUAUUAGUUUAUAACUCUGAAGCUCCUCAAAGACUUUGUGUCCAUCUUGUAUUACGGUAUUUGGUCAUCGUCCACCCGCUGUGGUACCGCUUCGGACGAACCAUCAAGACCUCUGUCCUGGUCUGUGUCCUGGUCGGGUCCUUUCUGGUGUCUGUGGCGUCCGUUUCUAUUUCUUUGUUGAAAAUCUGGUGACACACAUAAUGUUCAUCAUCCUCCAGCUCCUUCCCUUCCCGCUGUUAAUCUUCUUCCUGGUUGGGACCCUCAAAGCCCUGUCUGCUUCUACCUCAGUUCCCCUGAUGAAAAACGUCGAACUGUGGGAGUUUUGGUUCUGUUGCUGCUUAUUUACACCCUGCUGUUCCUGUCCAGCAUCCUUUGGUACCUGAGUUUAAUUCAUGACAGGACCAAUUUAAUUCUGUGUCUUAUGAUUGUAGGUUCAGUCCUCUUGCAGACUUGUUCCUGUAUGUGUUCAUGAGGAAAGGGACCAUAGACAAGCUUUUGGCCCCUGUGUGUUGCUGCAGAAUGGACAGCAAUGAUAUCAGCAGUUCAUCAGUAUGAAUGAUGACAACAUUUCCACAGUCAGCUUCAUGUAGGCAGAGAAAGAGGGAGAGAGAGAAAGGGGAGGAAACAGGAGGAGAAAUGGAGGCCAAUAGAAAGGAUAGAGACGAGACAGAUCCUGUCAUUUACUGAGACCAUUUCCAAUAAGACACCUAACUGUAGAGAACAGGAAGCACUGUUUGGACUCUGCUGUGGGAGAAGUGGCUGCUGGGAAAUGUUUUGGUCAACUUGCUCUGGUUCACUGUGAUGGCUUCAACACAUGGA